GGGGAAUAUUGGACAAUGGGCGAAAGCCUGAUCCAGCCAUGCCGCGUGAGUGAAGAAGGCCCUAGGGUUGUAAAGCUCUUUCGCUAGGGACGAUAAUGACGGUACCUAGAUAAGAAGCCCCGGCUAACUUCGUGCCAGCAGCCGCGGUAAUACGAAGGGGGCUAGCGUUGCUCGGAAUCACUGGGCGUAAAGCGCAUGUAGGCGGAUUGUUAAGUCAGGGGUGAAAGCCCGAGGCUCAACCUCGGAACUGCCUUUGAUACUGGCAAUCUUGAGUCCGGGAGAGGUGAGUGGAACUGCGGGUGUAGAGGUGAAAUUCGUAGAUAUUCGCAAGAACACCAGUGGCGAAGGCGGCUCACUGACCCGGUACUGACGCUGAGAUGCGAAAGCGUGGGGAGCAAAC
rnacentral:rRNA from 1 species